rnacentral:rRNA from 1 species
GAUGAACGCUAGCGGCGUGCUUAACACAUGCAAGUCGAACGAAGCACUUUAAUCGAUUUCUUCGGAUUGAAAUUUUAGUGACUGAGUGGCGGACGGGCGAGUAACGCGUGGGUAACCUGCCUCACACAGGGGGAUAACAGUUGGAAACGGCUGCUAAUACCGCAUAAGCGCACAGUACAGCAUGGUAAGGUGUGAAAAACUCCGGUGGUGUGAGAUGGACCCGCGUCUGAUUAGCUAGUUGGCAGGGCAGCGGCCGACCAAGGCGACGAUCAGUAGCCGACCGGAGAGGGUGACCGGCCAAAUUGGGACUGAGACACGGCCCAAACUCCUACGGGAGGCAGCAGUGGGGAAUAUUGCACAAUGGGGGAAACCCUGAUGCAGCGACGCCGCGUGAGCGAAGAAGUAUUUCGGUAUGUAAAGCUCUAUCAGCAGGGAAGAAGAAAUGACGGUACCUGACUAAGAAGCACCGGUUAAAUACGUGCCAGCCGCCGCCGUAA